UACGUAGGGGGCAAGCGUUGUCCGGAAUCACUGGGCGUAAAGCGCGCGUAGGUGGCCCGGUAAGUCCGCUCUGAAAGUCAAAGGCUCAACCUUUGAAAGCGGGUGGAUACUGCCGGGCUAGAGUCCGGAAGAGGCGAGUGGAAUUCCUGGUGUAGCGGUGGAAUGCGCAGAUAUCAGGAGGAACACCAACGGCGAAGGCAGCUCGCUGGGACGGUACUGACACUGAGGCGCGAAAGCGUGGGGAGCGAACAGG
rnacentral:rRNA from 1 species